UACGUAGGGUGCAAGCGUUGUCCGGAAUUACUGGGCGUAAAGAGUUCGUAGGCGGUUUGUCGCGUCGUUCGUGAAAACCGGGGGCUUAACCCUCGGCGUGCGGGCGAUACGGGCAGACUGGAGUACUGCAGGGGAGACUGGAAUUCCUGGUGUAGCGGUGGAAUGCGCAGAUAUCAGGAGGAACACCGGUGGCGAAGGCGGGUCUCUGGGCAGUAACUGACGCUGAGGAGCGAAAGCGUGGGGAGCAAACAGG
rnacentral:rRNA from 1 species